AACGUAGGAGGCAAGCGUUAUCCGGAGUUACUGGGCGUAAAGCGCGUGUAGGUGGAUUGGUAAGUUACUUAUAAAAGCUCCUGGCUAAACUAGGAGAGGUUGAGUGAUACUGCCAGUCUUGAAUAGAGGAGAGGCUGACGGAAUUCCGCGUGUAGUGGUGAAAUGCGUAGAGAUGCGGAAGAACACCAGUGGCGAAGGCGGUCAACUGGCCUCAUAUUGACACUCAGACGCGAAGGCAUGGGUAGCGAACGGG
rnacentral:rRNA from 1 species